UACGAAGGGGGCAAGCGUUGUUCGGAAUUACUGGGCGUAAAGGGCGCAUAGGCGGUGCGUUAAGUUAGGCGUGAAAGCCCUGGGCUCAACCCGGGAACUGCGCUUGAUACUGGCGCGCUAGAAUCCAGGAGAGGUUGGUGGAAUUCCCAGUGUAGAGGUGAAAUUCGUAGAGAUUGGGAAGAACACCGGUGGCGAAGGCGGCCAACUGGACUGGUAUUGACGCUGAGGCGCGAAAGCGUGGGGAGCAAACAGG
rnacentral:rRNA from 1 species